rnacentral:rRNA from 1 species
AUGAAAUACGUGAAAAAAAAGGAGAGAGAAAACUUGGAUAGGUUGAAAAGGAAAAUAUUGGACGAAGCAUAUUUCUGUAGCGAGAGAGGGAGCGCGCGCGAAAAGAGAGAGAAAGUGCUGGUCUGUUUUGAUUGGCUGGAGAGUUGCGUUGAGGAAAAAAAGCACACAUAUUUGAAGGUAUAUCUUUUGUAUAUUAGUAGUACUAGUUUUCCAAGUCACUUCUACAGUGCCCUGACACAAACUGGUGCCAGUACACUCUUGUUGUUGCGUCACUCCUCAUUUUUCUUGCGACUUGAGUUCUUAUUGGUACCGCGCGUGAAUUUCACUUGUGCCUAA